CCUACGGGGGGCUGCAGUAAGGAAUAUUGGUCAAUGGACGAAAGUCUGAACCAGCCAUGCCGCGUGGAGGAUGAAGGUCCUCUGGAUUGUAAACUUCUUUUAUAUGGGACGAAAAAAGGCCUUUCCAGGUCGUCUGACGGUACCAUAUGAAUAAGCACCGGCGAACUCCGUGCCAGCAGCCGCGGUAAUACGGAGGGGGCAAGCGCUAUGCGGAUACAGUGGGUGUAAAGGGGGCGGAGGUGCGGUGGUGAAAUCCCCGAGCUUAACUUGGGAACUGCCAUUGAUACUAUCAGUCAUGAAUACCGUGGAGGUCAGCGGAAUAUGUCAUGUAGCGGUGAAAUGCUUAGAUAUGACAUAGAACACCAAUUGCGAAGGCAGCUGGCUACACGAGUAUUGACACUGAGGCACGAAAGCGUGGGGAUCAAACAGGAUUAGAUACCCGAGUAGUC
rnacentral:rRNA from 1 species